rnacentral:rRNA from 1 species
GACGAACGCUGGCGGCGCGCCUAACACAUGCAAGUCGAACGGGAUCUUUUGGGAGCUUGCUCCCGGCUGAUCUAGUGGCGGACGGGUGAGUAACACGUGAGCAACCUGCCGAGAAGAGGGGGAUAACGUCUGGAAACGGACGCUAAUACCGCAUAACAUACCAGAGUGGCAUCGCUUUGGUAUCAAAGGAGCAAUCCGCUUUUCGAUGGGCUCGCGCCCGAUUAGAUAGUUGGUGGGGUAACGGCCCACCAAGUCGACGAUCGGUAGCCGGACGGAGAGGUUGAACGGCCACAAUAGGACUGAGACACGGCCCAGACUCCUACGGGGGGCAGCAGUGGGGAAUAUUGGGCAAUGGGGGAAACCCUGACCCAGCGACGCCGCGGGAGUGAAGACGGCCUUCGGGUUGUAAAGCUCUGUUGCAGAGGACGAUAAUGACGGUACUCUGUGAGGAAGCCACGGCUAACUACGUGCCAGCCGCCGCCGUAAGAC